GGGCGUAAAGAGCUCGUAGGUGGUUUGUCGCGUUGUUCGUGAAAUCUCACGGCUUAACUGUGAGCGUGCGGGCGAUACGGGCAGACUUGAGUACUGCAGGGGAGACCGGAAUUCCUGGUGUAGCGGUGGAAUGCGCAGAUAUCAGGAGGAACACCGGUGGCGAAGGCGGGUCUCUGGGCAGUAACUGACGCUGAGGAGCGAAAGCGUGGGGAGCGAACAGGAUUAGAUACCCUGGUAGUCCACGCCGUAAACGGUGGGUACUAGGUGUGGGUUUCCUUCCUUGGGAUCCGUGCCGUAGCUAACGCAUUAAGUACCCCGCCUGGGGAGUACGGCCGCAAGGCUAAAACUCAAAGAAAUUGACGGGGGCCCGCACAAGCGGCGGAGCAUGUGGAUUAAUUCGAUGCAACGCGAAGAACCUUACCUGGGUUCGACAUGCACAGGACGCCGGCAGAGAUGUCGGUUCCCUUGUGGCCUGUGUGCAGGUGGUGCAUGGCUGUCGUCAGCUCGUGUCGUGAGAUGUUGGGUUAAGUCCCGCAACGAGCGCAACCCUUGUCUCAUGUUGCCAGCGGGUAAUGCCGGGGACUCGUGAGAGACUGCCGGGGUCAACUCGGAGGAAGGUGGGGAUGACGUCAAGUCAUCAUGCCCCUUAUGUCCAGGGCUUCACACAUGCUACAAUGGCCGGUACAAAGGGCUGCGAUGCCGCGAGGUUAAGCGAAUCCUUUUAAAGCCGGUCUCAGUUCGGAUCGGGGUCUGCAACUCGACCCCGUGAAGUCGGAGUCGCUAG
rnacentral:rRNA from 1 species